CAGCCCUAAACGAUGCGCGUUAGGUGUAUCGGUGACCACGAGUCACCGAGGUGCCGAAGGGAAACCGUGAAACGUGCCGCCUGGGAAGUACGGUCGCAAGGCUGAAACUUAAAGGAAUUGGCGGGGGAGGCACAACAACGGGUGGAGCUUGCGGUUUAAUUGGAUUCAACGCCGGAAAUCUUACCGGGACCGACAGCAACAUGAAGGCCAAGCUGAAGACUUUGCCGGAUUAGCUGAGAGGAGGUGCAUGGCGUAGUCGUGU
rnacentral:rRNA from 1 species